rnacentral:RNase_P_RNA from 1 species
GCGAGUAAAACAUACGGCGGCGAGGCGUUUUAUGCGUCUUGAGGAAAGUCCGGGCUUCAUAAGGGAAUGGUAACUGCUAACGGCAGCCGGGGGCGACCCUAGGGAUAGUGCAACAGAAAUAAACCGCCUGCUUGCAGGUAAGGAUGGAAAGGCGAGGUAAGAGCUCACCAGCAUUAUGGAGACAUAAUGGCUCUGUAAACCCUACCAGAAGCAACACCGAUUACAGGAGCGAUACGCCUCCCUGCGUGCUCCUAAAGGUGGCAUGAGCCGCGCGGCAACACGCGGCCUAGAUAGAUCGUCGUUUAAUACAAAACCCGGCUUACGGUUUAGUCGCUCAU